rnacentral:rRNA from 1 species
GACUGUGCUAAGGUAGCAUAAUCAUUUGGCCUUUAAUUGGGGUCUAGCAUGAAAGGAUAAACUAAGGAAGUCUGUCUUUUUGAAUAUUAUAAUUAACUUAAUCAGAAGGUGAAAAUGCCUUUAACAAUAAGCAAGACGAGAAGACCCUUAGACUUAUUUACUAUUUAAAUUUAUUUAAUUAUACGGUUUUUGCUGGGGCGGCAAAGCUUCAAAUUUAACAAGCUUCAAUAUAAUAUCUAUAUAACAAAUAUAUUUCUUAAAAGUUAAGUACCUAAGGGAUAACAGCAUUAUUAAAUAAUUAGAUUGUGACCUCGAUGUUGGACUAGGA